GACGCUGAACUGUAUGCAUAUCAGACGGUAAGAACUGAGCAGGAAGAGAGAUAAAGGAAGCAACUGGUUCCAAAAAAUUAGGGUCUUUUUGAUGAUCGGAAUUAGGGUAGGAUUUUGGUGUCUAGGAAAUGGAAAUGGGUUUCUGGUGACGGUAAAUUUCUGGAACUUUAUAAUCCACCUAUCAAUUUCAUUUCUCUAUUUGUUUUUGGAUUUAAUUAUUUUCUGAUUUUCAAUGAAUCCCCUUUAUUGCUAAGUGAGUCUUCUCAUCUCGGUGGAUGUCUUAGCUGUAAUGAACAGAACUGAAUUGAUUCUCUUUCUUUCAUCUUUGAAGUUCUAGAGAAAGUUUUAUUAUGUAUGACUUGAUUCAAUGUUCUGAGCUUGAUUAAUCGAGAAAUUUCAGCGCCUUUUUUUUUUUUUUUUGUGGGUUCAGUUCACUGAGUUAUUUCUCCCGGAAAAAAAGUCGCUUUUGUUUUUUGGGUUCACAGAAUUCUCAUCUUUCUCUCUGUGUUGAAGAUGAAUUGCUUUCAACAGUAGAAGAAUUCCCUUCAGGUGUCAAUUUAAUGUGAUUCUUUCUUCUUUACAUACCGGAAAAGCUUCUCUCUGGGUUAGAUUUCUUUUUGGGGUGCGUGUGUGAAGGGUGGUAACUAAGAACAAUGGUCUCGAGAUCUUACUCGAAUCUUUUGGAGCUAGCCUCCGGCGAGUCUCCGUCGUUUGGCCGUAUGAGCCGUCGACUUCCACGUAUAAUGACGGUUGCAGGCAUAAUGUCAAACCUUGAUGAUGACCCAGCUGAUAGUGUCUCCUCUGAUCCAUCUUCCUCCUCUGUACCCAAAGACCGAAUCAUCAUAGUAGCUAACCAACUUCCAAUUAGGGCUCACAGAAAACCUGAUAAUAAGGGCUGGACUUUCAGCUGGGAUGCAGAUUCACUUCUUCUUCAGCUGAAAGAUGGUUUUGGGGAAGACGAAGUUGAGGUCCUUUACGUAGGUUGCCUUAAAGAAGACAUUCACCCCAGCGAACAGGAUGAUGUAUCUCAGAUCCUGCUCGAGAACUUCAAAUGUGUCCCUGCUUUCAUCCCACCUGACCUUUUUAGUCGAUUCUAUCAUGGGUUCUGUAAGCAACAUCUGUGGCCUCUGUUUCAUUACAUGUUACCCCUGUCGCCAGACCUCGGCGGUCGUUUUGAUCGGUCUCUAUGGCAGGCUUAUGUCUCAGUUAAUAAGAUCUUUGCUGAUAGGAUCUUAGAAGUAAUUAACCCAGAAGAAGAUUUUGUCUGGGUCCAUGAUUAUCAUCUCAUGGUGUUGCCUACAUUCUUGAGGAAGAGAUUCAACCGGGUGAAGCUUGGGUUUUUCCUCCACAGUCCAUUUCCGUCAUCUGAGAUCUACAAGACUUUGCCUGUCAGGGAAGAACUCUUGAGAGCCCUAUUAAAUUCUGACCUCAUUGGAUUCCAUACAUUCGAUUAUGCCCGGCAUUUCCUCUCAUGUUGUAGUAGGAUGCUUGGACUGAGUUAUGAAUCCAAGAGAGGCUAUAUUGGUCUCGAGUAUUAUGGCCGAACUGUUAGUAUCAAAAUCCUUCCUGUUGGCAUCCACAUGGGUCAGCUCCAAUCAGUCCUGAGCCUUCCAGAGACUGAAGCUAAGGUUGUCGAGCUCAUUAAGCAAUUUACAGGGAGGGGAAGAAUAAUGAUGCUUGGGGUAGAUGACAUGGACAUAUUCAAGGGGAUCACCUUGAAGCUCUUGGCUUUGGAGCAGUUGCUUUUGCAGCACCCAGAGUGCCGUGGGAAGGUUGUUUUAGUGCAGAUAGCCAAUCCAGCCAGGGGUCGAGGAAAAGAUGUGCAAGAUGUUCAGUCUGAGACUUACUCAACUGUGAAGCGGAUUAAUGAGACAUUUGGCCAACCUGAUUAUGAACCUGUGAUCUUGAUUGAUGAACCGCUUAAAUUCUUUGAGAAAGUUGCUUAUUAUGUCGUUGCUGAGUGUUGUCUGGUCACUGCUGUUAGGGAUGGGAUGAACCUCAUACCAUAUGAAUAUAUCAUUAGCCGUCAAGGGAAUGAGAAAUUGGAUAUUGCUGUUGGAUUGGGUUCAUCCUCCUCAAAGAAAAGCAUGUUAGUUGUAUCAGAGUUCAUUGGGUGCUCUCCUUCUCUGAGUGGUGCCAUAAGAGUUAACCCUUGGAAUAUCGAUGCGGUGGCUGAUGCAAUGGACUCUGCUUUGGAGAUGGCAGAUUCUGAGAAGCAGCUCCGACAUGAGAAACAUUAUAAGUAUGUUAGUACUCAUGAUGUAGGGUAUUGGGCACACAGCUUCCUACAGGAUUUGCAGAGGACAUGUAAGGAUCACGUAAGGCGUAGAUGUUGGGGCAUUGGAUUUGGGUUGGGGUUUAGGGUUGUGGCCCUUGAUCCAAACUUCAGGAAGCUUUCAAUGGAGCAUAUAGUGUCUGCUUAUAGAAGAGCUAGAACUAGAGCUAUUCUUUUAGAUUAUGAUGGCACUCUGAUGCCUCAGGCUUCCAUAGAUAAGAGCCCAAGCUCUAGAUCCAUUGAUGUCUUAAACAGCUUGUGUAGAGAUAAGAACAAUGUUGUCUUCCUUGUCAGUGCUAGAAGCCGGCAGACUCUGAGUGAAUGGUUUUCGCCCUGUGAGAGGCUGGGAAUCGCAGCCGAGCAUGGCUACUUCCUCAGGCUGAGGCGAGAUGCAGAAUGGGAAACAUGUGUCCCAGUGGCUGAUUGUAGCUGGAAGCAGAUUGCAGAACCUGUCAUGAAGCUGUACACCGAAACAACUGAUGGUUCCACAAUUGAAGAUAAGGAAACAGGGUUAGUGUGGAGCUACGAGGAUGCAGAUCCUGAUUUUGGAUCUUGCCAAGCUAAGGAACUUCUUGAUCAUCUUGAGAGUGUCCUUGCAAAUGAACCAGUCUCGGUGAAGAGUGGGCAGAGUAUUGUAGAGGUUAAACCACAGGGUGUGAGCAAGGGUCUUGUGGCAGAACGCUUACUUUCCACCAUGGAGGAGAAAGAAAUGGUUCCAGAUUUUGUUCUUUGCAUAGGUGAUGAUCGAUCUGACGAAGACAUGUUUGAGGUGAUUACAAGAAAUAUGGCUGCAUCAUCUUUAGAAGCCCAAGUGUUUGCUUGUACUGUUGGUCGCAAGCCCAGUAAGGCGAAGUAUUAUUUAGAUGAUACUGGAGAAAUUGUUAGAUUGAUGCAGGGGUUGGCCUCUGUGUCUGAUCAAGCUUUCACGGUUUCGUAACUAUAAAAAUCCGAAGAAGAGAAACCAAGGUCUUCUUCUGCAGUUUUGGCUGAUAGAUUUGGUGCUGUUAAAUUUCAUGCCUAGUAGUUGCUGAUAGCUUCACAUUGGUCCAGCCAAGAUAGAAACCAUUUGUUGGGCGGCUUUAAUUGGGAGUGGAAUUCUGUUGGGCGGCUGAAUUUGGUAGUGGAAUUCUGUUGGGCGGCUGAAUUUGGUAGUGGAAUUUCUUUAGACUCCAAUUGGUUGCAAGGGAAAUGAAGGGAAAUAUUUAUAUUUCUCUAUCUAAAGAAUAUCUGCAUUUCCCUUGCAAUCAAACAUCCUAUAAAAUAUGUUUCAUUUUUUCAGGAAAUAUUUUAAUUUCUUCUUCAAUGAAAGGGGGUCUUGGACAACUAAAAUCACUUCAUGAGAAGUCAUGAGAAAAGAUGUGUAGCUUAGGACUGGUAACCAGUAUGACCUUGAAUAGAUUUGAUUAAAGAAAGUGGAUUUAUGUAAUUGACUCCAUUUAAUUGGGAUAAAAUUGGAUUUUUUUUUUUUUCUUUUCUUUUU